UACGAAGGGUGCAAGCGUUACUCGGAAUUACUGGGCGUAAAGCGUGCGUAGGUGGUUUGUUAAGUCUGUUGUGAAAGCCCCGGGCUCAACCUGGGAAUGGCAAUGGAUACUGGCAAGCUAGAGUGCGGUAGAGGGUAGUGGAAUUCCCGGUGUAGCGGUGAAAUGCGUAGAGAUCGGGAGGAACACCAGUGGCGAAGGCGGCUACCUGGACCAGCACUGACGCUAAGACUCGAAAGCAUGGGUAGCGAACGGG
rnacentral:rRNA from 1 species